rnacentral:rRNA from 1 species
UACAGAGGUGGCAAGCGUUGUUCGGAAUUACUGGGCGUAAAGGGCGCGUAGGUGGCCUUCUUAGUCAGACGUGAAAUCCCCGGGCUUAACUCGGGAACUGCGUCUGAUACUGGAAGGCUGGAGUUCGGGAGAGGAAUGUGGAAUUCCAGGUGUAGCGGUGAAAUGCGUAGAUAUCUGGAGGAACACCGGUGGCGAAGGCGGCAUCCUGGACCGGCAUUGACGCUGAGGAGCGAAAGCCAGGGGAGCAAACGGG